AAUAUGAAGAUUACAUUCCAUAAAUAUUUUAUUUUUUCCCGACUGACCAUCUUCCUUUGCCGCCGCCGAAGAGCUCCGAUCACUGCCAAGUUUCCCGAUGAGAGUCAUCCAAAACCAACAGUCGUCUCAAACACCAGCAGCUAAUAUGGCUAGAUCUUCCUCUUCAUCUUCGUGAAUUAGCUAAGUCCUAAACAUAUAAUAGGAAAUAAGGCAAAUAGAAGAAAAGAAAUCAUUCCGUUUACAAAAAAAAAAGAAAAAAAGAAAGAAAGAAAUCAUUCAUCUUCUUCUGGUUGUGGAUCUCUUGGAGGGAUUGGAAACAAAACAAAUAGAUCAAUGGCUCUAAGUAUACAUAUGUUUUGAACAUUUAUAUCACUCUGAAUGUGAAUUCUUAUAUUUUUGAUACCAAAAAAAAUGUGAAUUCUUACUUUCUUCUUACAACAAGGCAUUCAACCCAUUAAUCUACUCAAAUAAUCAUGU
rnacentral:lncRNA from 1 species